GCGGGACUAGCUCAGUUGGUAGAGCACAAGCUUCCCAAGCUUGGGGUCGCGAGUUCGAGCCUCGUGUCCCGCU
rnacentral:tRNA from 2 species